ACCGAGGCCUUCGGCCCAGGCUUCAGUGGCUCGGCCAUUGAACAGAAAAGAAAACAGAGCUGCUCCUUUCCUCUUCCUCUUGCAAACCCUAGAAGAAAAGAGCCCCAAUCCUCCAUCCCUUCACUCCAUUGAUUUGUGCUCCAUUCAAGUGAAGGAUAGUGCUCUAGAGAUCAAUUUGAGAGCUCCAAGAGGAUCCCCUUCAUCUCCUCUCCCUCUCCAUGGUUGGUUCAUGCUCAUGAGAGGAGGUGGUAAAAUCUAGUGUUCUUGUGCAUUUUGUGAUUCAUAUUUGUGGCACUAGAUUGUGAUUGCAAUUGAGGAUUUCUUAUUACUCUUGGUGAUUGCCGUCACCUAGACGGUUGGUGGAUUGGUGAUUGGUGAGGGGAUUUGGUGAUUGUGUCCGCCCCGAAUCAAGAGGUGAUUUGUGAGGGGUUAUUGUGGUUCCCCAGCGAAGUGCCUAAUUCCAACUCUAGUGGAUUGCUCAUGUCAUUCAACUCUAAUCCAUUGGUAGGUUCUUGUGGCGCCUUUUGAUAGGCUCGGUGUGUGAUACCGAUUAGCCACCGAACCACGUGGUGCGGGGGACACAAUGGGGACUAGCUUGCCGGCAAGCAAGUGAACCUCGGGAGAAAAAUAAUUGUGUCAUCUUUGUCUCCCGGUGAAUUGGAUAUCAUCUUGGUGAUUGGCUUCUCUCCAACGUUGGUGCCGAGCAGUGGCAGGGGCCGAGCAGCAGCAGCGGGCGACGCUGCCCCAUCCUCAAUGAUGCCGGCGCACCCCCGUUGAGCCAUGGAGAGGGCCUCCUCACCGGAUCUGGCAACAGUAAGCGUCAGUCCUGGCGUGGCUGAGCCUGAGCGAGAUGGCAAUGCGACCCGAUGGCGGUGGCGCUCGGCACCGGCAGUGCUGGAGGAGUCGCUGUUGCGACGACACCGGGCGGGGCGGGGGGAGGGGGUGCGCCAUGGCUCGUCGUCCCGCCCAGCCAGCCCCUCCUGACGGUGCGGCGGAUGCAGUAGUUCGGCACGCCCUCCAAGAUCAUGGCGUCCUCCACUAGUCCACUUCCUCCUCGUCCUACUCGUUGUAGUCGAGCUCGCGCUACAAUGCACGCCCUAUUCUGUAAGCUCGACAACCAACCAGCGCAUGCAUCGUCCUCUGACAUCCAUGGCAGCGGCAAACCUGCCGGCACCAAACGCAAACAAGAAGGAAACCAGCUUCUCGCGGGCUUCUUCUCACAGAUAUUAAGGCAACCCGACCAACUGCAGUUCUAUCGACCAUGACAUGACCAGCUUCUCGCGGGCUUAGCUUCUCACACAUAGGCAUUGGGAAAUUGAGGGACGAGUUACUUUAGUCUUAAUAUAAUUCCUCCCCUAGGUCAUUGCUGUUAUCAUUAGAUUUCAGCCACAAUAAUUGGAGUUAUGUUUAGUUGUUUGCCCUUCAUCA